rnacentral:sRNA from 1 species
GCCUGGUGUGGUCAUGCACACCUGUAAUCCCAGCUGCUCUGGAGGCUGAGGCAGGAGGAUCACAAGUUCGAGGUCAGACUGGACAAACUUAAUGAGACCCUGUCUCAG